rnacentral:rRNA from 1 species
GUAGGUGGCAAGCGUUGUCCGGAAUUAUUGGGCGUAAAGCGCGCGCAGGCGGUUCUUUAAGUCUGAUGUGAAAGCCCACGGGCUCAACCGUGGAGGGUCAUUGGAAACUGGAGAACUUGAGUACAGAAGAGGAAAGCGGAAUUCCACGUGUAGCGGUGAAAUGCGUAGAGAUGUGGAGGAACACCAGCGGCGAAGGCGGCUUUCUGGUCUGUAACUGACGCUGAGGCGCGAAAGCGUGGGGAGCAAACAGGAUUAGAUACCCUGGUAGUCCACGCCGUAAACGAUGAGUGCUAAGUGUUAGGGGGUUUCCGCCCCUUAGUGCUGCAGCUAACGCAUUAAGCACUCCGCCUGGGGAGUACGGCCGCAAAGGCUG